rnacentral:lncRNA from 1 species
GGCACAGAACUGGAAUUGCCCUGGACGGCCACAGCUCUGCAUAUCCCCCAGGAGUGUGGACAAGAAAAAAUAAACACAAUUAGAGUUCACGACAAUGGGCCCCUGAUGGAAGGUAAGCCCGGCUAGCCUCUAAGGGCUGUGCCGGCUCCCACGAACUUCCAAGGCCGAGGACGGUGCCGAGACCCAACUUCCGGUCUCAAGAAAACUUGGCGCUGCAGGAAGACAAUGACAGUACCCUCCACUGAUCUGGGGCAAGAGGA